UAGCACAGAGGAGCUUGCUCCUUGGGUGACGAGUGGCGGACGGGUGAGUAAUGUCUGGGAAACUGCCCGAUGGAGGGGGAUAACUACUGGAAACGGUAGCUAAUACCGCAUAACGUCGCAAGACCAAAGAGGGGGACCUUCGGGCCUCUUGCCAUCGGAUGUGCCCAGAUGGGAUUAGCUAGUAGGUGGGGUAACGGCUCACCUAGGCGACGAUCCCUAGCUGGUCUGAGAGGAUGACCAGCCACACUGGAACUGAGACACGGUCCAGACUCCUACGGGAGGCAGCAGUGGGGAAUAUUGCACAAUGGGCGCAAGCCUGAUGCAGCCAUGCCGCGUGUAUGAAGAAGGCCUUCGGGUUGUAAAGUACUUUCAGCGAGGAGGAAGGUGUUGUGGUUAAUAACCGCAGCAAUUGACGUUACUCGCAGAAGAAGCACCGGCUAACUCCGUGCCAGCAGCCGCGGUAAUACGGAGGGUGCAAGCGUUAAUCGGAAUUACUGGGCGUAAAGCGCACGCAGGCGGUCUGUCAAGUCGGAUGUGAAAUCCCCGGGCUCAACCUGGGAACUGCAUCCGAAACU
rnacentral:rRNA from 1 species